AUGCUGCACAUCUCCUCACCAGUCUGGGGAAGUGGCUCCCCAGAUCUAACCUUACCUCCUACAAGAAUAUUUUUCUGCUACACAUCAGACGCUCUCCCUACAUCAGUGGGCCCAGGCGUUACGAGGACCACCUCUCCCUACAUCCGUGGGCCCAGGCGUUACGAGGACCACCUCUCCCUACAUCAGUGGGCCCAGGCGUUACGAGGACCACCUCUCCCUACAUCCGUGGGCCCAGGCGUUACGAGGACCACCUCUCCCUACAUCAGUGGUCCCAGGCGUUACGAGAACCACCUCUCCCUACAUCAGUGGGCCCAGGCGUUACGAGGACCACCUCUCCCUACAUCAGUGGGUCCAGGCGUUACGAGGACCACCUCUCCCUACAUCAGUGGGCCCAGGCGUUACGAGGACCACCUCUCCCUACAUCAGUGGACCCAGGCGUUACGAGGCCCACCUCUCCCUACAUCAGUGGGCCCAGGCGUUACGAGGACCACCUCUCCCUACAUCAGUGGGCCCAGGCGUUACGAGGACCACCUCUCCCUACAUCAGUGGGCCCAGGCGCUGUCGGCCCACCUCUCCCUACAUCAGUGGGGCCAGGCGUUACGAGGCCCACCUCUCCCUACAUCAGUGGGCCCAGGCGUUACGAGGACCACCUCUCCCUACAUCCGUGGGCCCAGGCGUUACGAGGACCACCUCUCCCUACAUCAGUGGGCCCAGGCGUUACGAGGACCACCUCUCCCUACAUCAGUGGACCCAGGCGUUACGAGGACCACCUCUCCCUACAUCAGUGGGCCCAGGCGCUGUCGGCCCAACUCUCUCUACAUCAGUGGGCCCAGGCGUUACGAGGACCACCUCUCCCUACAUCAGUGGGCCCAGGCGUUACGAGGACCACAUCUCCCUACAUCAGUGGGCCCAGGCGUUACGAGGCCCACCUCUCCCUACAUCAGUGGUCCCAGGCGUUACGAGGACCACCUCUCCCUACAUCAGUGGGCCCAGGCGUUACGAGGACCACCUCUCCCUACAUCAGUGGGCCCAGGCGUUACGAGGACCACCUCUCCCUACAUCAGUGGGCCCAGGCGUUACAGGACCACCUCUCCCUACAUCAGUGGGCCCAGGCGUUACGAGGACCACCUCUCCCUACAUCAGUGGUCCCAGGCGUUACGAGAACCACCUCUCCCUACAUCAGUGGGCCCAGGCGUUACGAGGACCACCUCUCCCUACAUCAGUGGGUCCAGGCGUUACGAGGACCACCUCUCCCUACAUCAGUGGGCCCAGGCGUUACGAGGACCACCUCUCCCUACAUCAGUGGACCCAGGCGUUACGAGGCCCACCUCUCCCUACAUCAGUGGGCCCAGGCGUUACGAGGACCACCUCUCCCUACAUCAGUGGGCCCAGGCGCUGUCGGCCCAGCUCUCUCUACAUCAGUGGGCCCAGGCGUUACGAGGACCUCCUCUCCCUACAUCAGUGGGCCCAGGCGCUGUCGGCCCACCUCUCUCUACAUCAGUGGGCCCAGGCGUUACGAGGCCCACCUCUCCCUACAUCAGUGGGCCCAGGCGUUACGAGGACCACCUCUCCCUACAUCAGUGGGCCCAGGCGUUACGAGGACCACCUCUCUCUACAUCAGUGGGCCCAGGCGUUACGAGGACCACCUGCGCCCCUCCCUCCGCCUUCUCCCUUUUCAGGCAAGCAUGUCAUUUAUGA
rnacentral:lncRNA from 8 species